ensembl:ncRNA T05E11.9 ncRNA
UUCUAUCGGGAGGCUGGGAGACGGACACCCGUCCUUCUCCCCCUCCUCUCAAUAAACAUAUCGAUAUAAAAGUAUGUUUUUCUAUUAUUUUAUCUACGAGAUCUGGCACGAUCGCGUACGGUAACAUGGAGGUCCCACCGAGCCAGGAAAUAAUUUUGGAGUGCCCCUGUAUGUAAGAUCGCAGGUUCCAAAAUUGUUUCUGCGAACUCAGAGGAGUCAGGAGUUCACCUAAGUGCGCCGAAACCGCUACACCAAGGCCACGCCAAUAUCUAUUUGGAUUCCCCCAUUCCUAUCACCAUCAAACCCCUUCCCUUCUAUUAUUCUAUUCUCGUCUGGUUGGAAGAGCAUGGAGACAGUUUCCAAUACACAUCACGCCUCUGCAAAACGGACAAAGCAGAUUCUCUUCAAACGGUCAAGGAAUUCCCGACGUUGGAACAACUCCCCCUGAUGCGGCUUGAGUUUUUUUUCCUUUUGAUUAUUAGUUGUUCUUUAUUAAUUCAAUCUCUAUUCUAGCCUGAGGGCAUUAUGAGCCAAGUUUGAGCCAUUUUAUUGUGUUGAGUAGGCAAAGUUCCCCGCACAUUUUUUUUGAGUAUUGAAAAGACACUAGUUUGAAGAGUUCCCCAUUUGCUUUGUAUUGUAUGUAGAUAAGUUACUGUUGAGUAAAAUGACCUCUAAUUAUAUUGUUAAGUCCGUUUUCUUAGAAUUUCACAUUUUGAAAUAUGUAAUUGUGUCUGCCUGAGGCAAAAGAAAUUAGUGAGAGUCUGUUGUAUUGCAUUUUAAUGAGAUGAGAGUAGGAUUUUAUUUGGUAUAGUUUUUUCAUAUGGUGUUUAUCCUUCUUGAAAGGGCUUUAAACUCUUGCACUAAAACACUAGCGCUUUGAGGGCAAAGCACUUUUGAGAGGGUAGGAUGGCAUGCCGUCACCGUCAUCUGUUCAUUUUCUUUUUGGGAAUCUGAGUUCUGUAAGCCUAACAUCAAAAGCUUCGGGACGAAGCUGCUCAAAAAGGGCGGCAUGUGAGAGGUCAGUUCUAUACUGCCUCUCGGUUUCUAUUUAUCGAGUAGAGACAUUCUAUUCUAUGAGAAUUAACAUCAUUCUAUCGGGAGGCUGGGAGACGGACACCCGUCCUUCUCCCCCUCCUCUCAAUAAACAUAUCGAUAUAAAAGU